rnacentral:misc_RNA from 1 species
AUCCUUUCUCUCCUGCAUUUGACUCAAAGUCACAUUAAUUCUAAAAAAUUGGAAAAGAAUUACAAAAAAGGGAGAAUUUUACCUGGCCAUAGAAUUGGGAUUGCGAGGUUUAUUGGGGAAGUUGGAGUGGGGCUUUUGGGCUUGAGGAUUGUUUCUGGGUCCGUUUUGCACCAUUGAAGGCAUCAGUUUCUCUCCAACUCUGAGAAAAGGGAAAAAGAAAGCAGAGGUCGAGGGGGACAGAGAGACCCUUGCAGAUAUGUGCAGCAAAUAUCAGGAAUCGGAGAGUCCAGUUAAUGACGGCGACAGUUCACCCCGUGGCUCAACAGACAACGCUACUGCUGCCUUCUGGGCGCCCUUGUUGCGAUAGCUUCCCCUGCCUCGGUCCAACAGAGCACCCCCAGAAAUUGAAUGUAAGUAGAAGUAGAAUGUAAGAAAAAUUAAGAAUCUUUAGCGCAAGAAAUUUGAGAAGAAGAAAAGAUUGAAACAAAAAGAAACUAGUUUUGGAUUGGAGAUCGCCUCACAGAGAGAUAAACUGAGAGAGAGAGCUUUGAGCUUUUUGCAGGGAGAAACGAGAGGGU